rnacentral:snoRNA from 1 species
UUUAUAUGAUGAGAAAAUUAAAUGGCGAUAUUGUUAUUUAUUAUACUUACUUUUAAUUCUUUGAAAGUAUGUAUAUAAAAUAAUGAAGUGAAUGAGCGUCAAAAAAAUGAGUAGUUUUCAAUCUGAUAAAAAAAAAAAAAGGAAAAAAAAAAAGGAAA